rnacentral:antisense_RNA from 1 species
CACACUACUGACACACACCACACACACUCCAUACACACCACUCACAUCAACAUACACAACACUCACACACAUCACACACACCCACACACACCACUCACAUCAACGCACGUACACACCCUCACAUACAUGCCACACGCACAUCAGUCACAUCGACACACGCACACUAUUCACACACACGACACACACCAUUCACACACAACACAUCACACACCACUCACACAACCCACACUCCCCCACCAUUCACAGCAACAUACAUACACACCAUUCGCAGUCACACCAACACACCACACACACCACUCACAUCACUCAACACAUACACACCAUUCACACACACACCACACAUAUACCACUCACAACACACAUAGACACCAUUCACAUACACACACCAUUUGGACACACCACACACACACCACUGACACCACUCACAUCAACACAUACAAGCAUUCACACACACCACACACACACCACUCACACCACUCACAUCAACACACCUACACACACACCACACAAACACACCACUCACACACAUCACACAUCAUUCGCAAACACAACACACAUUGCUCAUACACCACUCAUAUACACACACCCCCACCCACCACACACAACACAAACCACACAUGCACACACCAUUCACAUCAAUAAACACACCAUGCAUACACCACACACAUGCACCACUCACAGAAAUCUCACCACACAAACCACUCAAACCAACAUACACACCACAUACACACCACAAACACACAUCACACUACUCAUACACAUACCACAGACACCUCUCUCACACCACACACACACACACACACACCACGUACACACAAACCACACACACCGCCCACCCCGGACCUGACAGGGAACAGCUUCCUCCUCGCUGAUGGUAGGAGGAAUUCCCCGAGGUCAGGAAGCAGUGUCUAUUCAUUUGUCGUAUGGAAUCACCACACCCUUCAGUGAUGGCCAUGCUUUCCUUGUCGCCUUCUUUGAGAUUGAGUGGGCCCCACAGAAUGGCGUUCCCAGAAGCCUUGGUGACUGCUCAGAUCCCAGCUGCUUUACCUGCCAGCAUCCUGAAACUCAGUAAGAUCAGAGCCCAGACCUCGUAAGAUGUUGAGACUUCACCUACCGCUGACCCACCCAGGCUGAUGAAGCAUCAAUCCAAGAUGAAGGGGCCCAUCCCUGAGUCUGUCUCUCUUCUCUGGCUUUGUCACUCUGGACUUUGCUUCCGGCUUCAAGUUUCUAGGUGUAGCCACAUGCUACUGUUUGACUCUAUGUGAAGAUUAAUGGCAAUGAAGCAAACGUGCAUAAGAAAAUCCAUGCAGCAAAGGCAAUUCUGUUAUUCUCAAGUCCAUAGAUGCCCAGUGUGACAUUGUGAACUGGAGAAAAAGGAGCACUUCCUGUUCAGGAAAUCUUGUAAAAUCAUAAAUGUCAGGACUCAGUCAAUAAUAUCCCAAAAUGAAGGCCUCAGAAGCAUCCUCAGAAGAAAAACUUAUUUCUCUGAUCUUCUCUUGCCCUCCUGUCUCUUAGCGCCAUUCUCCCCUGAGGCUAGACACAGACACUAGAAUCCCUCUGCCCCAGGGCAGGGCAUGGAAGCCAGAAGCCUUUUUCCCCAAAGCCAGCCAUAAAACUUAAAGAUGUCACUCUAACUUUCCCUCUGCCUUUCUGUGUGAAAACUGGCCAUAAAGAAACUAUCUGCCCUACCUUGUUUGACUGCAGGUCAUAAGACCCUCAUUCCAGAGAGGGUCCUGCCUCAUACUCAGAAGGAAGGAAUGCAAUCUAAACAGACAGGCCUUGCUGAGUUUCCCCACUCAGCCGAUUGACAUUGGAUCAUGCCCUUUUUGUCUAAUCCUAUAUCUACACGGCUGUCCAUACUUUGUUGAACCUAAGCAUAAAAAUGGUCAGUUUCCUCUG